CCACCCGUCAUCAGGGAGUAGCCGCCCUCCGAAUGCGAGAGGGACGUGUGUCAACAGACUUGCCGGUUCCGGCAUGGCACACGUGGUCCGAGACUUGGCGAGACUUUUGACCGUAAUGCUCUGCAUGGCCGGGACGCAUUGCGGUCACUCGUUUUCGCGUCCCGGCCAUG
rnacentral:sRNA from 1 species